ensembl:lncRNA
UGGAGAGUCUCCAUCCAGCUGGAUCACUGUCACAGACAAACACACCACCACACCUCCACCUACAUCCACACCUCCACCUACAUCCUCCUCUCCUCUUGGUUCCACCUCCAUCACUCUUCCUCCAUCACUCUCGCCUCCUGUUCUCUCUGUGUUGUCAUGUGUUGGAUCAGUCUGUGUUGUGGUUCUACUGGUGUUACUGGUUCUGCUGGUGAGACAAUGUGUUCACAGGAAACCUGAAGGUGAGACUCAGAAAACUGCAUUUCAGAUGUGUGGUUAAUAUAAUCGCACCAAUUAUAUAUUUAUAUUUAUAUACACUCAUAUUUAGUUUUUAUAUAUGUUUUUUCUAAAUUUCAAUUCAUCCGUACUCAUAUUUUCACAAAUUACACA